GGUUUAAUAACUAUGUGGGAUGGCUGAGGGGUGCAAGGUUAAAUAACUAUGUGGGAUGGCUGAGGGGUGCAAGGUUAAAUAACUAUGUGGGAUGGCUGAGGGGUGCGAGGUUUAAUAACUAUGUGGGAUGGCUGAGGGGUGCAAGGUUAAAUAACUAUGUGGGAUGGCUGAGGGGUGCAAGGUUAAAUAACUAUGUGGGAUGGCUGAGGGGUGCAAGGUUAAAUAACUAUGUGGGAUGGCUGAGGGGUGCAAGGUUAAAUAACUAUGUGGGAUGGCUGAGGGGUGCAAGGUUAAAUAACUAUGUGGGAUGGCUGAGGGGUGCAAGGUUAAAUAACUAUGUGGGAUGGCUGAGGGGUGCAAGGUUAAAUAACUAUGUGGGAUGGCUGAGGGGUGCAAGGUUAAAUAACUAUGUGGGAUGGCUGAGGGGUGCAAGGUUAAAUAACUAUGUGGGAUGGCUGAGGGGUGCAAGGUUAAAUAACUAUGUGGGAUGGCUGAGGGGUGCAAGGUUAAAUAACUAUGUGGGAUGGCUGAGGGGUGCAAGGUUAAAUAACUAUGUGGGAUGGCUGAGGGGUGCAAGGUUAAAUAACUAUGUGGGAUGGCUGAGGGGUGCAAGGUUAAAUAACUAUGUGGGAUGGCUGAGGGGUGCAAGGUUAAAUAACUAUGUGGGAUGGCUGAGGGGUGCAAGGUUAAAUAACUAUGUGGGAUGGCUGAGGGGUGCAAGGUUAAAUAACUAUGUGGGAU